UUUCUAAAUUCCAACCUCCAUGACUUAAGCCCCGGUUACAACUGAAGAACGAUAAUCACAUAGCAUGAUGCUGUCACCUUCAUGCUUCACUUUACGCUUGGUGUUACCUUGGCAAUGAGGUGUUGUUACCUUUUGUAAUUAUGUCCAAAAUGUUAAACCUCGGUUUCACCUGACCAUAAUACAUCUUCCCACAUGCAUUUGGGAGAUUACAGAAGUAUUUUUUGCAAAAUGUACUCCACCGAGAUUUAACUUUUUGGUCAUAAUUCGAAAGGGUAUAUUUGGCACAAAACAUCACCCCAACAACACCAUACUUUAAGUGAAGGGAGCCUUGUUGGGUGAUCUGAAGAGGACUGACUGUGGGAGAUUGCACUCGCAGUCUUUCUGAUUUGGAGGGCUUUGCAAAGAGGGGUGAACGAAUAUUGCCAUAUUAAUGUGUGCCAUGCUGAGACUCUUACCCACAAAAGACUGUGCUGUAAUGAAGGCCAAAGGUGCUGCAACUAAGUAUUAAUUUAAGGGCGUGUACAUUUUUGCAUUGCAUUGCAUUGAUUAAUAGUUUCGAUUGAAGGAGGGAAAAGCUGUGAAUUUAUUUGUCUUUCUAUUUUUUUUUACAUCACAAAAACCUGACAUUUGAAGAGGGGUGUGUAGACUUUUGGGAGCCACUGUACAUGUAGAAAUUAUGUGUUCAUAUCUCUAACCCUCUUGGUUUAGCAUGAUAAUGAAAAGAACUGUGAGCAAAAAUGUGGCAAGCAGAAAACCAGAGUGGCUAGUGACUUGGGAAAACCCAACUGUGGCCGGAGAGCAAAACAUUAAUGUCAAACCCUUGUCUGUACCCAGACAUGGGUUCCUACCAGGUGUACGGAUACCCAAACACAACCACAUCGUAUGUAAAGCGCAAGUCUGAAUUAAAUUUUCUACACACAUGUACCUAAAAAGUGUACCACAGUCACCGUGUAGUUUGAAUACUUUUACUUGAAGGAGAGGAUUGUGCACACAGGUGCAGUACGAAGGUCAACUGUAGUUUUCAGAGUGAGGAGUCUGCACACUUAGAAUCGUUUUUGUUGCGUUUUAUUUUUUCAUGGCAGGAUAACGUACCUCAACAGUCUUCUUCAGAUUCUCUACAAACACAGUCUGAGUGGUGAUUAGAACAUGCCUGGCAUCCAAGGGUGUGGCCAGUUUGUUAACCCUUUACACUCUACACUUUACAAUUAGAAUUAUUGUACACUGUCUGGACAAGAUGUAGAAUACUACUGAGCGACAGUGAUAUGUCAUGUUCUUAAUACUGUUAUAUCCUGUCAUUACAGACAAGGCGGCCGGAAACGUUGAUGACCUCAAUGACACUGGCUAGGUGAAAGACAUCAACAAAAUGGCAUCAGGUCACCAGACAUCAGCUCAUAAUCCACAACAUCAUCAACCAUUUUGCGCCAAAAAUGAAGCCGUUCACAUACCAUGGCAUCCUAAGCAGGCAGCACUACACUACUGUGCAACAGUGAGAGAGAGCGGGCAAGGACAAGUAAAGCGGACCUACACUACAGCAAGACUUUGACACUUCUCCACGUUAGAGGCAACCAUCACCCCCACCGUUGAGCAGCGGCUAUGUGUAACCCCCAAAAGAGGAGAUGAUCCGACGAUGUGUGUGUGGUGUGUGCGUGUGUGUGUGUGAUGUAUGAUAUUGUAACACUUCAGUCCUUCUUUUAUACUAUACAGUGUAUACAUAUACAUUUGUGGGUUUGUUUAAAAACCAUAGCUGAGGUUAAGAAAUGCAUUAUGACAAAUACAUCUGAUUCAGGUGUACUGUCUUUUAUUUGCCACAAAUAAAUCACAUCCUGGAAACCUG